UGGGGAAUAUUGCACAAUGGGGGAAACCCUGAUGCAGCGACGCCGCGUGAGUGAAGAAGUAUUUCGGUAUGUAAAGCUCUAUCAGCAGGGAAGAAAAUGACGGUACCUGACUAAGAAGCCCCGGCUAACUACGUGCCAGCAGCCGCGGUAAUACGUAGGGGGCAAGCGUUAUCCGGAUUUACUGGGUGUAAAGGGAGCGUAGACGGUUGUGCAAGUCAGAAGUGAAAGCCCGGGGCUCAACUCCGGGACUGCUUUUGAAACUGUGUAACUGGAGUGCUGGAGAGGUAAGUGGAAUUCCUAGUGUAGCGGUGAAAUGCGUAGAUAUUAGGAGGAACACCAGUGGCGAAGGCGGCUUACUGGACAGUAACUGACGUUGAGGCUCGAAAGCGUGGGGAGCAAACAGG
rnacentral:rRNA from 1 species